UACAGAGGUCUCAAGCGUUGUUCGGAUUCAUUGGGCGUAAAGGGUGCGUAGGCGGCGCGGUAAGUCGGGUGUGAAAAUCUCGGAGCUUAACUCCGAAACUGCAUUCGAUACUGCCGUGCUUGAGGACUGGAGAGGAGACUGGAAUUUACGGUGUAGCGGUGAAAUGCGUAGAUAUCGUAAGGAAGACCAGUGGCGAAGGCGGCUUCCUGCCUGUUCUUGACGCUGAGGCGCGAAAGCUAGGGGAGCAAACGGG
rnacentral:rRNA from 1 species